CUCAGGAGAUCUGGUUGUUUGAAAGUUGUGUGGAACAUCCCCUUUCGCUCUCUCUCCUGUUCGGUCAUGGUGAGAUGUGCUUGCUUCCCCUUCUUCCCCUUCGCCUUCUGCCAUGACUGUAAGUUUCUUGGGGCCUCCCAGUCAUGCUUCUUGUUAAGCCGGCAAAACUGUGUAAGCACAGGAGGACCUUCAUCCAAAUCUGAUAUCAACUCAAGGUCUGGAUCUUGUUCACUGGCAAGGACCAUGCAAGAAACAGGGAAUUCCUUAAAUGGCUCCAAAUAAGUGGUCCAGACAUGGUGGUACACAUCUGUAAUCCAGCUAUUCAGGAAGCUAAGGCAGGAAGAUUCCCUGAGUCUACGAGUUCAAGACUGGGCAACAUGGGAGAACAGAGUCCCGUUACGUUGCCCAGGCUGGUCUUGAACUCUUGGGCUCAAGUAAUCUUCCCACCUCUGCCUCCCUGUGUUGGGAUUACAGGCAUGAGCUAUCCUGCCUAGCCUACAAAUUUUCUUUAAUAUUGUUAUCACAUUGCUUUAUUAUAAAGUACAACAAACAACAGCUUCAAGACCCUAAAAUUGCAAAUAGACUAAAAUAUUUCUAUGGCCAGUUUAUGACCAAUCUUUCUACGGUCAAGCUGGAAACAAGGUUUCUUUUCUAUUAUUAAGGCAAAAAACAUGGCUACAUAAAGGAUUUUCCAGUGCUGGCUUCCACAGCACAAAUACUAAAAUUGGAACCAUGCGGAGAAGAUUAGCAUGGCCCUUGGGCAAGGAUGACAUGCAAAUUUGUUUAAAAAAAAAAAAGGAUUUUCCAGGGAAGCAAGAAUCCCUCAGUAUGUAGCAUUCAGGUAUAGUUUUUGGAGCUCUGAGAAGUCAGAUUGGCUCUAAGAGCUCUCAAGACCACUCAAACACAAUCUCCAGGGUGUAGAUCUAGACUAGCCAGUUUCCGUAGAUCUAUCUGUAUACUGGAUCUUCUCCUGAGGGUAGGAUACCCAUCAAUCAACUUAUGAUUCUGAACUCAUCAAAACAAUUACAAUUUUUACAAUUUUACAGGUAAUAGUUCUCUACAGAAAAGCAUUUAAUGAAAGCAAAAUGUGUUUUAUCACAAUCUAAAAAGUUUGAGAGUUCUUAUUCAAGUUCUUCUUUUAUGAUCAGAAAGAGUAUCUACUUAGCUAUCCACUAUAUUCCCAGGGCCCAACAAAAUACUUAUUAGGACCCCAAUAAUGUUUGCUAAAAAGUAUCUUUAGGCCAGGCAUGGUGGCUCACAUCUGUAAUUCCAGCACUUUGGGAGGCCAAAGUGGGCAGAUCAAUUGAGGUCAGAAGUUCGAG
rnacentral:lncRNA from 1 species